rnacentral:rRNA from 1 species
AUUGAACGCUGGCGGCAGGCCUAACACAUGCAAGUCGAACGAGUGGCGGACGGGUGAGUAAUGUCUGGGAAACUGCCUGAUGGAGGGGGAUAACUACUGGAAACGGUAGCUAAUACCGCAUACCAUCAGAUGUGCCCAGAUGGGAUUGGCUUGUUGGUUGGGUAACGGCUCACCUAGGCGACGAUCCCUAGCUGGUCGGAGAGGAUGACCAGCUACACGGGAACUGAGACACGGUCCAGACUCCUACGGGAGGCAGCAGUGGGGAAUAUUGCACAAUGGGCGCAAGCCUGAUGCAGCCAUGCCGCGUGUAUGAAGAAGGCCUUCGGGCUGUAAAGUACUUUCAGCGAGGAGGCGUUACCCGCAGAAGAAGCACCGGCUAACUCCGUGCCAGCAGCCGCGGUAAUUC